ensembl:lncRNA
GUGGGAUUCAGAGCGCUGCUGGGGAACACUUUGGAAACUUACACUCUAAAAAGCCGAAAGGCCUAAAAGCAGUGAAUGAAUUCUACCAAAGUGAAGAGAGAAACAGGCCCAUUACCAGUACAAGGUUGAAAUGAGGUCUCUCACACGGAAAAGCCCAGGACUACACGGAUUCACUACCAAGUUCUAUCAGACUCUUAAGGUCUAAUAGCAGCACUCCUUGAUUGGUCAAAAGUCAUCAAACUGAGCAGUUACACCCAGCAUACUAUGGAAUGCUCAUUCCGUUAAAUAAGAGGAGAACACACAGCAAUCAAGAGCGUUAAAGAAAAAUCCAACGUGGCCAAGCGGGGAUUGGAACCCAGGUCUCUUGUGUAGAAUCUGGGGCUCAAGGGCACUCUGCCUGCUUGCCUCACAGAGUCCCUCUGUCAUCAGCCGCCACACUGACUACCUCUGCCUGCCAGCCCUGGGUCCUUUCCAAGAAAAGACAAAGCUGCAAACAAGCAGUAAUGACAUUGAUUAUUCCAAGCCAGAGGCAGGGGAUUUUGGAUCAUUUCCUUAAAAUGCUUGCUCAGCAACACUGAGGUCCUCACCCCAACCACCCUUAGUCCCAGGAAAUAAAUGUACAGUACGUCAUUGACGUGAAGCAGGGAAAAUUCCCUGUGGAGUUCUGCAGUCUCCUUCUCCUAGUUUGUCAAAUGCCAGCAGCAGCCAAGCCGACUGCCCUGUUUGCCUGUCUGUAUCUUAUUUCUGUAAUGUCUUGCAGAUUGCAGAAGCCCCCCACCCCAAUCCCCAAAGCUAGGCAAACCACAUCGUCUCCAAGCUUCCUAGAGCAGCACUCAGGUUCCCUGCUGUCCUUGGGCUUUGUAUAAUAUUGCCUCUGGGUGUCAUAUACUGUGAUUCUCUGCCAUCAGCCAUAUUUUGCUCUUUUUUUCCCAAGGAAGAACAUACAAUUCAUUUUUAAUAUCCCUACAAUAUAUGUGACCAAAAUGUAAUUUAAAAGACGGACAAGUGGAAGACUUUCCUGUAUGUCAUGCGAAGCAUGAGAAGCGUUGUGUUCAAAAGCUAGUUUCCAGUUAUUAUAGCCACAGCCUUUCCCGCUUCACCCCUUUGUUACUAAGGAGGUUGAUGUGAAAGGAGAUGUGUCUCUUUCCUUAAAGACCUAUCUCUCUCUCAAGGCUGAGUUCUCCAUACCUGGAUUCACACAUCCCCCCACACCAUGGCAAUUACCCCCCUGGUAACCACUCAUGACAUCGCAGACACAAUGUACUAGCAGAAGAAAUGAGAGCUCCUGAAAUGCAGAGAAGUCAGCUCCCUCUGUGGCCUAAGGACUCUGAAGGAAUAGGAAAUGGAGGGUUUGUUUAUUUAUUUAUUUUUAUUUAGCAGAAAAGUAACUCUUGAAAACUAUCCUUGGAUUUUGACUGCUUAUUGAAUUUCAAAGCUUCUUGUUACCUUAGAUCCUGAAACUGUGUUCUGAGGCCCACAAAAAUUUUUAGAUAAC